rnacentral:tRNA from 1 species
UCCGAAUUGGUGUAACGGUCAACAUUUCGCGUUUUCACCGCGGAGCUCGGGGUUCGAUUCCCCGAUUCGGAG